rnacentral:rRNA from 1 species
GAAGAACAUAUGUGUAAGUAACUGUGCACAUCUUGACGGUACCUAAUCAGAAAGCCACGGCUAACUACGUGCCAGCAGCCGCGGUAAUACGUAGGUGGCAAGCGUUAUCCGGAAUUAUUGGGCGUAAAGCGCGCGUAGGCGGUUUUUUAAGUCUGAUGUGAAAGCCCACGGCUCAACCGUGGAGGGUCAUUGGAAACUGGAAAACUUGAGUGCAGAAGAGGAAAGUGGAAUUCCAUGUGUAGCGGUGAAAUGCGCAGAGAUAUGGAGGAACACCAGUGGCGAAGGCGACUUUCUGGUCUGUAACUGACGCUGAUGUGCGAAAGCGUGGGGAUCAAACAGGAUUAGAUACC